AGUAGCCGCGGUAAUACGAAGGGGGCUAGCGUUGCUCGGAAUCACUGGGCGUAAAGGGUGCGUAGGCGGGUCUUUAAGUCAGGGGUGAAAUCCUGGAGCUCAACUCCAGAACUGCCUUUGAUACUGAAGAUCUUGAGUUCGGGAGAGGUGAGUGGAACUGCGAGUGUAGAGGUGAAAUUCGUAGAUAUUCGCAAGAACACCAGUGGCGAAGGCGGUUCACUGGCCCGAUACUGACGCUGAGGCACGAAAGCGUGGGGAGCAAACAGGAUUAGAUACCCCCGUAGUCCCUGUCUCUUAUACA
rnacentral:rRNA from 1 species